rnacentral:rRNA from 1 species
GACGAAGGUGGCAAGCGUUGCUCGGAAUCACUGGGCAUAAAGCGCGCGUAGGUGGCUUGAUAAGUCGGUGGUGAAAUCCCAUGGCUCAACCAUGGAACUGCCGUCGAUACUGCCAUGACUAGAGUCCGGUAGGGGAGUGUGGAAUUCCCGGUGUAGCGGUGAAAUGCGCAGAUAUCGGGAGGAACACCAGUAGCGAAGGCGACACUCUGGGCCGGUACUGACGCUGAGACGCGAAAGCGUGGGGAGCGAACAGG